rnacentral:rRNA from 1 species
UACGGAGGGGGCUAGCGUUGUUCGGAAUUACUGGGCGUAAAGCGUACGUAGGCGGCUUUGUAAGUUAGAGGUGAAAGCCCGGAGCUCAACUCCGGAAUUGCCUUUAAGACUGCAUCGCUAGAAUCAUGGAGAGGUGAGUGGAAUUCCGAGUGUAGAGGUGAAAUUCGUAGAUAUUCGGAAGAACACCAGUGGCGAAGGCGACUCACUGGACAUGUAUUGACGCUGAGGUGCGAAAGCGUGGGGAGCAACAGGAUAGAUAC